UAUUCUCUCCACAAUUUCUUUCUUUAUUUGUUCUGUUGCUAUAUCUGUAGUAACAUAUGUCCCUUUGAAAUGCUUCCAGUUCCUCGCCUGCCAAGUAUGAUAAAUUCUGGCUCCCAGCAAGGAAGUAGCUAUCUGGCUCCCAGCAAGGAAGUAGCUAUUUUCUUCUCGAAUUGUUUCUAGUUGCUCGUUAUUUCCUUUUUGAAUUGUUUCCAUUGGCUCUCC
rnacentral:lncRNA from 1 species